rnacentral:lncRNA from 1 species
CGCAAAAGCAGGGAUAUAUCACCUGGAGUGCUGUAGGGCUGUCGCCAUAUAUAAUGCUCUGAGCUCAAUAUUUAUAGAGCUACAUACGGCACAAAUCAUAUCCAGAAGGCCCGUCGAGCUGGAGAGCUAGGUAUAAACUCCAGAAAUAUCGCAAGCCAUCGCUCACAAGAGACUGCCCGGCAGAGCCGCUGGCCGUACAUCACGCUGUAAUGCCAUCCGAGUCCGUGCUCGGUGCUGGAGCAGAGCAGAGGUCACUGCCAAGCUUUCCUUCCAUAAAUCCUAGGCGCUGGCUCUGAGCAAGGUUAGGGGCUGGGGAGCCCUGCUCCUGGUGCUGCUUCUUGCUGCUGUUGACACCGGGGUGUCCCAGCACUGAGGGUGGGUGCUUGUCUGAGGGGUCUUGUCCUUGGCCUCUGCUGUGGGAACUGGAGGAGAAGGUGGGAGAGAUGCAAUGGCUUGUUCAGACCAACUCUGACAGCUUUAGGGAACAGAUGGCUCAUCUGAAAUGGGGUUUUGCUGGGUUUUAGGGGGGAUCUGAGUCUCUUCUUCUCACCCUUCUGGAUCACAUUCUCCUUUAUGUUGUGUAAGGGUGUGAAUUUUCUUUAAGUCUCUAUUUUCUACAGGCCUCUAUGGUUGAGGACACACAGAAAACAGCCUGUCUGCAUGGCAAAGAUGUGGCAGUCUGUCCCAAGGAAGUCCAGGUCCACUGCCCACCUAGAAGUUCCUCCUUGGUGAUGGAGCUCAGCCACCCAUGGGGUACAGCUCCCCCAGGGCAGACCCUGCUGCACCCCUGGGUUCUUCAGCUUUCUUGGGCAAUCCAGAGUGAGCAAAUCCCAGAUGUGCCUCCUAUCUGCUUGAGUCCACCCUCGUGAUGCUGCAGGAGGAUUUCACUAAGCCAACACCCCAGUCUGUGUGCUCCAUGACAGCCGUGCUGGCACCAAACUACGCUUCCCAGGAGGCCACA